UACGGGGGGAGCAAGCGUUGUUCGAAUUUACUGGGCGUAAAGGGCGCGUAGGCGGCCACCGCAAGUCGGUUGUGAAAUCUCCGGGCUUAACCCGGAAAGGUCAAUCGAUACUGCGGGGCUAGAGUGCAGAAGGGGCAACUGGAAUUCUCGGUGUAGCGGUGAAAUGCGUAGAUAUCGAGAGGAACACCUGCGGCGAAGGCGGGUUGCUGGGCUGACACUGACGCUGAAGCGCGAAAGCUAGGGGAGCGAACGGG
rnacentral:rRNA from 1 species